UACGUAGGUGGCAAGCGUUGUCCGGAUUUACUGGGCGUAAAGAGCGCGCAGGCGGUCGGCCAAGUCGAGUGUGAAAGCCCCCGGCUCAACUGGGGGAGGGUCAUUCGAUACUGGUCGACUCGAAGGCAGGAGAGGGAAGCGGAAUUCCCGGUGUAGUGGUGAAAUGCGUAGAUAGUCGGGAGGAACACCAGUGGCGAAGGCGGCUUCCUGGCCUGUUCUUGACGCUGAGGCGCGAAAGCUAGGGGAGCAAACGG
rnacentral:rRNA from 1 species